rnacentral:rRNA from 1 species
UACAGAGGGGGCAAGCGUUAUUCGGAAUUAUUGGGCGUAAAGGGCGCGUAGGCGGUCGGACAAGUGGAAGGUGAAAUCCCCGAGCUCAACUCGGGAACUGCCCUCCAAACUGUUUGGCUUGAGUCCGGGAGAGGUGAGUGGAAUUCCCAGUGUAGCGGUGAAAUGCGUAGAUAUUGGGAGGAACACCAGUGGCGAAGGCGGCUCACUGGCUCAUAUCUGACGCUCAGGCGCGACAGCGUGGGGAUCAAACAGG